rnacentral:rRNA from 1 species
AGCGUAGGCGGACUUUUAAGUGAGAUGUGAAAUACCCGGGCUCAACUUGGGUGCUGCAUUUCAAACUGGAAGUCUAGAGUGCAGGAGAGGAGAAUGGAAUUCCUAGUGUAGCGGUGAAAUGCGUAGAGAUUAGGAAGAACACCAGUGGCGAAGGCGAUUCUCUGGACUGUAACUGACACUGAGGCACGAAAGCGUGGGAGCAAACA